GCCAGCGUGGUGUCAUGGUUUGAGUGUUGGACUGUGAUUCUGGUGAUCUGGGUUUGAUUCCCAGCUUGGCC